CUAAUUUCAAGAGUCUUUGUUAGAGGACUAGAGCUUGAAAGUGUUGCUUUAUCACAGAUGUGAAAGCACUUAGCUGGGGAGAUCAUGAAAUGAGUAUCCUUGCUUGUAUUAUUCAAAUGCAAAAGAAAAAUGCAGAUCACAAUGAAAGGAGGCACCAACAUGGGAAUAAUUUUUCCUUUAAAUUGGAAGAUACAGUGGAUUAUGCCACAAAUGAAAUAAAUUUCACAGGAGAAGAAAACAAAUAUUACGGCUCUGGAAUCACAGUGACGUUAGCAGGAAUGUGACUGAUAUAAGGCAGCAAGUUGUCCCAAUAACUCAAACAAAAUAGGCUCAUUUUUAGAUUAAAUUCCUCCUGUGUCAGGCUCCCACCACUGUGUGUUACUGUGUCUUUAGUGAAGGAUCCAAUCAUUAGUUACUACAAAUCUGACCCAAGUAUCAUGCAGCCUGUGUAGAAUCCAGAGUGAUGAACUGAAGCAUUCCAUCCUCUUUUGAGCAUACAAGCAGUGAUGUGUGGCACCAAAUGGUUGGCGUGGCUGUUCAGCACUGUGGACCCCAGAACACACGGAGUUGGAAGGGACCUACAAGGAUGACAGAAGCACAGAACUGUCAGGGCUGGAAGGGACCUCAGGAGAUUACCCAGUCCAACACCCCUGCCUAGAAAGGGUCACGUGGAGCAAGUGAAACAGGGACACAUCCAGGAUGCAACAGAUCUUAAGGGUGUGGAAAAUCAGGCUGCAAAAAACCAGUGUCCCCGAAGGAGACAGCAGAGACCUGCAAGAAUCAAUUUUAUUGGAAUAAAGGGAGCGAGCCCACUGAGCAACACCCCGCUGGGGCCUCUCCCGAGUUUCUGGAGCACACAUAUUCCCUUAAUCCUAAAUCCCCGGCCGCCAUGUUGCCUUCUGUCCUUUCCCCAGCGGCUGAGGCACUAGGAAGGUACAGCCUUCUGCACAUUUCCACCUGAACACGUAUUCUCCCCGCAUCGUGCAUCGCACGACCAUUAAAAUUAGCUUUAAGAGCCCCCUGGACAACGAAGUGAGUAUCUGUAAGUCCACUGAGCCUACACAAUUUUCCUAAAGUUCAAAAGCUCGGACUGUGCUGUGUUCUGCAACAAACGUGACCCGCACGCGCAGAACCCGACGGGUGCGUUCAGACCGAGCCGCUUGUGAGGGCACUCAGAGCCCUUUCUCCCUCAUGAGGGAAGCA